UACGUAGGCAGCAAGCGUUGUUCGGAAUUACUGGGCGUAAAGGGUGCGUAGGCGGCUUUUUAAGUUUGGUGUGAAAGCCCCGGGCUCAACCUGGGAACUGCAUUUGGGACUGCAAGGCUGGAGUACGGCAGAGGGAGGUGGAAUUCCACGUGUAGCAGUGAAAUGCGUAGAGAUGUGGAGGAACACCGAUGGCGAAGGCAGCCUCCUGGGCUAGUACUGACGCUCAUGCACGAAAGCGUGGGGAGCAAACAGG
rnacentral:rRNA from 1 species